AUCCAAAUGCCCACUAAACAGAUUUCUUUUCAAAAUGUCUGGUGUUAAUGAGCUUGAUUCGAUAGAACCUAAUGAAUGGGUUGUGGAAAAUUACAAUCUUUUUCUUUUGGGAAUAGUCUCACUUUGUAGCCCCACCCUGGCCUUGAAGUCACUUCAAAGCCUGUGCUGGUGUCAAACUAGUUAUCCUCCUGCCUCAGUCUCCCGAGAGAAUUGCAAUCCUAUUAUGUCAAUUUCUGUGUUAGUACAGAGACAUUCUGAGGACCUGUUUCUUCUGCUUCUUGGCCAGCAGAUUGCCCUUGCCACUUGCUUCUGUUUACGUCUGCUUCUGUGAUGCCAGCUCCCACUUCUGUCAAAGACCUAUGUCACCUUCCAACUCCCGAGGUUGACCUGGGUAAAACCACGGAGGAUCUACUAUAACAUCUAAACUACACACAGAAGUUCUGUGUUGGCACAGAGAAAAGACUUAUAUGUGGGGUCUGUUCUUCUGACAAAAGGCUUACUGCUUAAACUGCCAACAGACGAGCCCUGUACGGGGCCAGGAGUUAUUUGCUAUCCCCAGAUUCCAUCAUUUAGCUGUGUGUGACCCAAGUCACACAUCCCAUCAAUCAAUUAUCUCAUGGACCAAGAGAAGAUCAUCUUCUUAUGAACAUGGGAGAAUCCCCCAGUGAAGCCUUGCCUACCUUUGCAUAGGCUUUUGUAGGAGUUUGGUGAUCUUCCAGAACUGGACUCAGCACAACCUUGUAGAAUGUAUUGUAAUACAAGCCAGUGAGGAGCUUCCUGCCUUCGGAUUAAUGAUGCUCAAAGCAGGGAAGAAAAGAAAGUCUGGCCAACAGAAGUAAGUUAUUGGCAAACCAUACCAAGAGCUUGUCUGUGAGUCUGCAACAGACUCCCUGGGCACCAGGCCUGCUGGAAGGAAGGGGUAAGUUCAGGCCAGGUGCUUUUUUAAGCUAUGCCCACCCACAGUCCUCUCUAUCCUCACCCGCAGAGUUGAUUCUGGGAUCCUUGCUGCUACAGGGAGAGACACCCUACUGGGAAUCUGUAAAUAGGUGCCCCAGAGUCCAGGAAAACGGCAGGUGUCAAUCUCAUCCCCCCAUGGAAGUUGCAGACCAGGCUGUCAGGCCCCUGCCACAUCAGAGGGGUGCUGGUGGCAUCACAUCUCCCACCCGCAUGAUAGGCACGCUUUAACUAUGCUCCUCCCCAUCCUCAGAGUUAGAGGUCCCUGCUCCAGAAUUCCCUCCCUUGUCUCUGCUGCCCAGGAGUCAGACACGGCCUGACUUCGUGCAAGUACCCCCUUUCCUCUGAGACUUAUAAGGGGCCCUCAAUCGGCUGCAUGGAUUUUUUUCAACUCUCAUCAGAGUCCCCAUUAUGCUGCUGUUGUCUGUCUGUCUGUCCACGGAAUUAACAAAUCAUCGAAUAGCUCUCUGAGGACAGUCUGCCUCAGUGUUCCCAUUGAGCCCUAAGCCUGAGACCCUUCAGAGACCUCAAAGAAGAAGGUCUGGCAGCUUGAGACACAGGCCCAUCCGGCUUUUUGGCUUUUUCUCUUGAUAGUAGGGCCCCCUGCCCAUGGACUACUUGGCAAGUUCAAGGCUGGACUAGAACACGUUUACCUAAAGUUUCAACUUCCCUGUCUUUGUUUAAAUUGACCAAUCCUAAAUAAAGGGGAGAAGACCCCCUUCCCAACCCAUCAAAGACCCUUAAAACAUCUAGUCCUCAAGGAGAGACCAGACAUUGGCUUCCUUGGGAUCUUUUUCUUUGUGUGCCUUGCUCUGUGUGUUUCCUAAUCAUGAGAUAGGGUCUUCCUCUGUAACCCUGGUUGGACUAGAACUUACCUUGUAGACCAGGCAACAGGCAGCUCACAGAGAUCUGCCUCUGCUGGCAUUAAAGCCCUAUAUCAUCAUACCUGGCACCCUCACAUUUAAUAAAAGUCUCUCUCUUCACCAGUUGAUACUGUCUGCUGCAUCUGAGAUUUUCUACUACCUGUUGGGGAAGUAUUUUCUGCCCCUUUACUUCUUUAACUGGCAGAGAAAAUGAAUGAGAUAAAAAUCCCUAGGUUCCCUAGGGCCUAGAAGGUAACAUUAUGACCUGAACUAAUUCUUGAGAACACACACGGUGGAAGGAGAGAACCAGCUCCUGCAAUUUGUCCUCUGACCCCCUGCCUCCACACAAAUGUAAUUUAAAAUAAAAAACCGAUACCACACAAGUCAAAUCUCACCAAAUACAAACAUUGAUUUAAUUGUUCAUCUUUUUUUAAAAAAAGUAUAAUAAAACUAGAAAUCAGUAGUAAGCGAAGCUACAGAAAUUGUACAGAUACUUGGAGACCCAUCAAUAGACUCUUGAAUGACCAGUGGUUAUUGAAGACCUUAAGGAGGAAAUUUGAAAGUUUCUACAUUUAGAAGAAAAUGAACAACUUAGGAAAGCAUUUGGGACAUAACUAAGUGUCCUAAGAGGAAAUUUCAUAGACAUGAGAGUUAACAUUAAAAAAAAAAAAUCAGGAAGAUCUCAGAUAACCUACUACUGCACUUCAAAGUCCCAAAACACCAGAACAAAUCUAAUUCUAAAGGCAGAAACAGCAAGAGACAAUAAAGAUCAGAGCAGAAGUUAAAGAAAUACAGACUGAGAGAACAAUACACAGAAUCAAUUUGAACAGAUACUUCUUUGAAAAUAUACAAUCAACAAAUCUCUAGCCAAACUAACUAAAAGGAUAGAGAAGACCCAAAUUAAUACAUUCAGAGAUUAAGUGGGUGGUGGGGGUGUUCACUCUAGAUUCCAGUGAGAAACACAAAAUCUUUCGGAAGUACCUUGAAAACUUAUAUUCAUCUGAACUGGAAAACCCAGAAGAAAUGGCUGCAUUUCUAGCCAUAUAGGAGCUACCAAAAGAAAAUCAAGAUAUAAACAACUUUAGCAAAUCCAUGACAAUCAAGAAGACUGAAGAAGUAAUAAAAAAAACCCUCCAUGUAAACAGAAUUCCAGGACCAGAUCUUUAAAGAAGAGCUAAUACUAAUGCUCCUUAAACUGUUCCAUAAAAUAGAGAAGGGGCUGGAAAGAUGGCUCAGCAGUUAAGAGCACUUGCUGCUUGCUCUUCCAGAGGACCCGAGUUCAGGUUCCAGCACCAUGUCAGGUGGUUCACAACUGCAUGUAAGUCCAGCUUCAAGGGAUCUGAUACCCUCUUCUGGCCUCCAUGGGUACCCACACUAGCAUUUUCUCCCUCCCUCUCCACCCCCCAAAUAAUACAAGUAAAUACAAAUGUAAAACAGAAAGAGAAGUAACACUGCUGAACUCUUCUGAAACCAAUAUCACUCCAAUACCCAAACUAGACAAAGACACAACAAAAAAGGAACUAUUAUUGACCAAUUUCCCUGAUGAACACAGAUGGAAAAUUCUCAAUAAAAUUCUUGCAAAUCAAGUUCAAGAACACUUUAGGAAGAUCAUUCUAAGAUCACACUGUGACUAAGCUGGUUUUAUUCCAGGGAUGCAAAUUUGGCUCAACAUAUGUAAAUCAGUAAGUGUACAUAAAUAGACUUAAGGUCCAUCAGUCUCCAUCAAUGCAGAAAACACUAUCAAAAAGUUGAAUAACUGUUGACGAUGAAAGCCUUGAAGAUACUAGGAUUAGAAGGAAUAUACUUCAACACAAUCAAUGCUACAUUAUGACAAACCCGUAACCACCAUUGUACUGAAUGGGGCAACACUGAGAAAGUUUCUUCUAAAAUCUGAAUGAGACAAGUGUAAAGUCUAUGCUAUCCAUUCUCAUUAAAUAUAUAAUUCUUAAAGCUCUAGCUAGAGCAAUAAGCCAAGAGGAGUAAACAGAAGGUACACUAAUAGAAAAGGAAGAAUUGAAAUCACCCAUUUGCAGAUGAAUCCUAUACAUAAAAGACUAAAUAUUCCAGCAGAAAACUCUUAGGACUGAUGAACAAUUUCAUCAGGGGAUCAGGAUAAAUUCAACAUACCAAAAAAAAAAAAAAAUCAGUAGUAAGCCUGGUGAGAUAGCCCAGUGGGUAGUGCUUGCCAUGCCCUUAGGAGAACACAAAUUUGCACCCCUCGAACUCACGUAUAGAGCUAAUGUGCACAGCACCAGAACCUGUAACCCAAGUGCUCCCACAGGGAAAUGGGAAAUGGAGACAGGGGAAUUCACAGAAACUUGAGAGCCAGCUAGUCUGGUGUGUGCAGUGUAGAAAACAGCAGACUGUCAAAACGAGGAGGAAGUCGAGGCAAGGAUGCAUACCCGAAAAUGUCUCUCCCCUUUGUCAACACAAAAGCACAACUCUCACCAAAAAGGGGGACAAGAGGUAGUUUAUCCUGGAGCCAAAUACGACUGACUAUGGCCAGCGAUACGUUCCAACAUGUUUCAUGAACUUUUUAAACUAACAGAAGGAAGAAAGUCACAGUACAUUGGUGGUAUGAUUCUGAAAGUCACAGUACAUUGGUGGUAUGAUUCUGAAAGUCACAGUGCAUUGGUGAUAUGAUUCUGAAAGUCACAGUACAUUGGUGGUAUGAUUCUGAAAGUCACAGUACAUUGGUGGUAUGAUUCUGAAAGUCACAGUACAUUGGUGGUAUGAUUCUGAAAGUCACAGUACAUUGGUGGUAUGAUUCUGAAAGUCACAGUGCAUUGGUGAUAUGAUUCUGAAAGUCACAGUACAUUGGUGGUAUGAUUCUGAAAGUCACAGUACAUUGGUGGUAUGAUUCUGAAAGUCACAGUGCAUUGGUGGUAUGAUUCUGAAAGUCACAGUGCAUUGGUGGUAUGAUUCUGAAAGUCACAGUGCAUUGGUGGUAAGAUUCUGAAAGUCACAGUGCAUUGGUGGUAUGAUUCUGAAAGUCACAGUGCAUUGGUGGUAUGAUUCUGAGAGUCACAGUGCAUUGGUGGUAUGAUUCUGAGAGUCACAGUGCAUUGGUGGUAUGAUUCUGAGAGUCACAGUGCAUUGGUGGUAUGAUUCUGAGAGUCACAGUGCAUUGGUGGUAUGAUUCUGAGAGUCACAGUGCAUUGGUGGUAUGAUUCUGAGAGUCACAGUGCAUUGGUGGUAUGAUUCUGAAAGUCACAGUGCAUUGGUGGUAUGAUUCUGCGGGCGAGGCGGUGUCCCUUUCCUCCCUCAUCUUCCAUGGUAAUUCUCUUUCAGCUGAUUCCAGGCAUCUCACUUGGCCUUGACUUCGAGGUCCGGUACUCCAGGCCAUUCUGCGUUUAUGUCUCCACAACUGCUUGUUUGAGUAGCUUAUAUGAGCACCACCUCAUUGAUGAGCCGGCUGGAACUUCCUCGGCAGCUUUGUCAAACCUCAGCCUGAGACAUGCUAGAGAUUCCUAGGAGUCCCAGAGCUGGCUGAGGAUGCAAGAAGCAAGAUCUGAUAGUUCAAAGGUUUGGGCAGGGGGCGGAAGAGAUGGUUCAGUAGUAAGAGUACUUGCCCUUCUAGAAGAUGAGAAUUGAGUUCCAGCACCCACAUAGGGUGACUCCUAACCACUUUACAGCUCUGAGUGGAUCUGAUGCCUCUGACCUCUGAUGGUGUCUGCGCGCGAGCGCGCAUGCACACACAUACAUGCACACAAAUUAAAAAAUAAAAAUAAAUCUUAAAAAACGUUUGUGCAAAGACAUGUACCUGUAUAACCAACACCUCAGACAUGGAGCAUGUUCAUCAUUGCCCUUUCUGAAGCAAUGCCUGCCCUCACUGCUCAGAUCAUCCACCGGUCCAGUUUUUUUCACCAUAGGCUGUGUUGGUCUGUCUUAAAGCUUCAUGUAAAUGGUUUCACAUAGAUGAUAAAUACUCCUUUUGUGUUGUUUUCUUGGUUUGACAAGUUAUUUAGAUUUAUUCAUGUUUGGAGAGUUUCAAGAGCUCAUUCCAUUUAAAGCAGUUUUCUUUGUAUUUUAUUAAAUGUCAGAAUUUCUUUAUCCAUUCUCUUUUGGGGGAGGAGUAUUAAACUGAGUUCUAUUUGUUA